GUCCGGUUAACUCAGCUGUUUAGAGCGUGGUGCUAAUAACGCCAAGGCAGCGGUUUUGAUCCCCGUACUGGCCA
rfam:Danio rerio chromosome 4, GRCz11 reference primary assembly.